rnacentral:rRNA from 1 species
GACGAACGCUGGCGGCGUGCCUAAUACAUGCAAGUCGAACGAGAGCGACCGGUGCUUGCACUGGUCAAUCUAGUGGCGAACGGGUGAGUAACACGUGGGUAACCUGCUCAUCAGAGGGGGAUAACAUCCGGAAACGGAUGCUAAAACCGCAUAGGUCUUCGAGCCGCAUGGCUUGAAGAGGAAAAGAGGCGCAAGCUUCUGCUGAUGGAUGGACCCGCGGUGCAUUAGCUAGUUGGUGAGGUAACGGCUCACCAAGGCCGUGAUGCAUAGCCGACCUGAGAGGGUGAUCGGCCACAUUGGGACUGAGACACGGCCCAAACUCCUACGGGAGGCAGCAGUAGGGAAUCUUCCGCAAUAGACGCAAGUCUGACGGAGCAACGCCGCGUGAGUGAAGAAGGUUUUCGGAUCGUAAAACUCUGUUGUUAGAGAAGAACAAGUGCUAGAGUAACUGUUAGCGCCUUGACGGUAUCUAACCAGAAAGCCACGGCUAACUACGUGC